ACAAGACAACACAGACACACAGACACACAUACACGCACACAUACUCAUGCACGCACGCAUGCACGCAAAUCGUAAAUGAUUAAAACACCCGUCUAGACACAACACACUCAUAGUCCACUUCCACCUCCCUGGCUGAGGUUGAGUCACAUCAACAGCACAGCGUGAAAUCGAAGAAAUGGGAUUAGUGCACCCGCUUUCUCAUUUUACAAAACGUUUUUUAAAAAACAAAGUUAAUUGACUUUGAUAUCCAAUACAAUGAGCCAACCUGAGGUGUUUGGUGUCAGAAGUGGGAUUUCAUUCAUUGCCCUCGUCUUUAAAAUAAAUAAAUAAAUCGACCCAAUGUCAUUGAUUGUGAUAUAUUGCCAAAAUUUUCAGGACUGAGCUAUAAACCAUUACGAUUCAUGGGUAUUUAUAUCAGAAGUGGGAUUAUUUUGGGUUGAGAAGUGGGAUUUGGUCCUACACAGUCAUUGUGGAAUUUGGGUCUAGCAACCUGUGUUUGUAUUCAUUUAUAAGGUCACGCGAACCCGUGUGUUGACAUUUGUUAUCUCUAGUCUGUAUCUGGAGUCAGAAACAAGAUCAAAACAUCUAAACAGUACACCUCUGAACCAUGAGUUAAAUGUAUUACCUCAUAUGUCAUUACCCCCCCCCCCCCCAAAAAAAAAUAUGAAUAGGCCGCCUGUGGGCAGAUAAAUGCGACAUAGACACAAUGUAUUACAAAACUCCGGAAACCACACACGUACACACACAUAUUGAGUCAAAUCCACUCGCUCUUUCCUUGUGGCCUUUCUGAAUUAUAGAUGAAGCUUCUCGCCACCCGCAUUCAUCGAUCCGCUCUUUCCCGUCCCUCCCCUCCCUGCCGCCUCACCUGCCGCCAAUUUGCGCCUUUUUCAUUCUGUCAUACCGCCCACCACCUCCCCCUUACGUCCUUCCCUGUAAUGAUCUCCACUCGUAGCUUUUCCAUCAUAGCACAUACUCACAGAUGUCCUCCUGUCUGUUUGAUUGACAGACGGAUCAGAUAUAGUAACCAGGGGGAAGGUGGUAGAGGAUGGGUGGAGGAGGGGAGGGUCCUGAAAUACACACUUUGCAGGAAGAGUUUGAUGUGAGAAGUGGGAUUCAAACUAGUACUUAGUUUUCUUUACUUGGGGUGGCCAACUACGCUAAUGUAAUGGAAGUGGUUAGGCUAGCUUGGUAGGUUGGUUGGUUGGUUGGUUGGUUGGCUAGUAGGUUGAUAGGUAGUUACAGUAUAUAGGUCCGGUAGUAUUGGUUGGUAGAUUGGUCAGUAGCUACUGUAGAUAGGUAGGUUAUGCCAGUAGCAAGGUCGUUUGGUUGGUCGGUAGUUAGCUACGGUAUUAUGUAAGCUUGUUUGGAAUCAUGGUUGUUUAGCUCGUCAGUUGGUGGGUAGGUGGCUUUGCUCGCUUGGUAGAUGGGAAAGACAAUUGACUCGCCUGUUGGUAGGUAUUUAGUUAGGUAGGUUGGUCGAUAAUCUAAGUAUGUACGAUAGGUAGGUAGCUUGGUAGGUAUUGUCGAUAAAGGUAGUAGGUAGGUAAGUAGGUUGGCCGAUGGGUGGGUCAGUCAGUUGGUGGGUAGUUGUUUGGAGGAAGGUAGGUCGAUUAGUAGGUAGGUAGAUGAGACCUAUCUGGUAAACUACUCAUCUACAGUAUGUCUGCAGUAUCUUUGUAGUUAUUCAAGUACUGCAGUUCUGUAUGCAAACAUCGUUGGCAAAGGUAAAAACAAAGCUGACGAUAAUAGGAGUAUGACAUCAUAAAAAAAUAAUUAACAGCGGCAUAAACGUUAAUAAUCCCAGAGAAGAAAAAUAGAAGAGGGUCUCCUGCUGGCCGUAAAAGGCGAUGGGUUGUUGUUGUGCAAAAUCCGCCCUCCUCCCUCCAUCCUCCAUCCACCGGAACCCCCCUCGCAGUGACAGAUCGUCUGCAAUUAAGCAAACAAUUAAGUCUGCAUUUAGCGUCUGUAAGUGGCUGUUAUGAAACAUUACGCUCAAGUCAAUGUGCGUUUUACGGUCCCGGGAGCGGCCUGCUAAUCGCUCGGAUGUUGCCGGUGCGGCAGGAAAAAAAAAAGCAGCAAUACGGGUCAAGAUCUUUAAAAGGCUGAUUGUUGCACUGUCAGAGAAAGGAGGAAAAAAUCAGACAGCGGAAGCAAAUGCACUUUUUUUCCUCUUGCCUUUAAGUGCACUUUUUGUUUCCGGUAAAUCUGCAAAAAGCAAAGCUGCACUGAAACAACUAUUCACAUGUUGUUUUGUCUGAUAUCAAUUGAACUUACUGUCACAGUUGUGCAUCAUCCACUACAAUGGUCACUUAUGUGUUGCCAUCCCCCGCCGUUAUUUUUAUGUUCAUGUCUCAAGACUAAAAACAUUUGAGAAAAAAAAUCCUGAUGCAGAUUAUUUGUGCAUGAAAGUGUUAAGAAGGUCAGUGGGUAGUUAGUGAAACAGGUAUAUUGGUAGGGAGGUGAGCACAAGAGGUAGGUAGGUAGGAAGGAAGGAAGUGAGGAAGUAAAGAAAUAAGGCAGUAAGGAGGUAAAGGAGUGAGAAAGUAAAGUGGUAAUGAGGUCAAGGAGGUAAAGAAGGAAGAGGUAAGGAAGUAAAGAAGUAACCAAGUAACGACUGAAGGAAGUAAAGAUGUAAAGAAGUAAGGAAGUAAAAAGUACGGAAGUAAGGAGGUAAAGAAAGGAAGUAAGGAAGUAAAGAAUGAAGUAAAGAGAUAAGGAAGUAAAGAGGUAAGGAAGUAAAGAAGUAAGGAAGUAAAGAAGUAAGGAAGUAACAACUUAAGGAAGUAAAGACGCAAAGAAGUAAGGAAGUAAGGAAGUAACAAAUGAAGUUAAGAGGUAAGGAAGUAAAGAAGUAAGGAAGUAACGACUUAAGGAAGUAAAGAUGUAAAGAAGUAAGGAAGUAAAAAAGUAAGGAGGUAAAGAAAGGAAGUAAGGAAGUAAAGAAUGAAGUAAAGAGAUAAGGAAGUAAAGAGGUAAGGAAGUAAAGAAGUAAGGAAGUAACAACUUAAGGAAGUAAAGACGCAAAGAAGUAAGGAAGUAAAAAAGUAAGGAGGUAAAGAAAGGAAAUAAGGAAGUAAAGAAUGAAGAGGUAAGGAAGUAAAGAAGUAAGGAAGUAACGACUUAAGGAAGUAAAGAUGUAAAGAAGUAAGGAAGUAAAAAAGUAAGGAGGUAAAGAAAGGAAGUAAGGAAUUAAAGAAUGAAGUAAAGAGAUAAGUAAGUAAAGAGGUAAGGAAGCAAAGAGGUAAGGAGCUAAAGAAGUGAAGUAAGGAAGUCAAUACAAUACAAUACAAUACAUGCUGAUUUAUAUAGCGCUUUCACAACAGCGGCAGCUGUAACAAAGCGCUUAACAAAACAGUUAACAUAAAGUAAAAUAAUAAACAGAAGUAAGGAGGUAAAGAAGUAUGGAAGUUAGGAAGGAAAGAAAGUAGGUCGGAAAGAAGGAGACUUCAAUAUUGUGUACGCUCUCACCAGGGUGACAUCUCAUGGAGUCCAAUUUACCCGGCAAAUCGUGUAACCGAGUGAAGGUGUCUUGAUUAUCACAGCGUCUCCUUCGAUCUCCUCCGUCCGUCUCCAGCAGGUCUCCAGACAUCGCAGAGGCCGUCGCCCCACUCUGCAGACAGAAUUAGUCUCUCCGGAGUCUCAAGACGCCAGCUAAGAACUUCGAAUUAAAAAAAAAAAAGUAUCCAAAGGUGUCGUUAUUUCAGGAUCGAUUAAUGCAGGCGGGGUGGGUACGCGGCAUAGUUUGGUUUGGUAAUUGUGGAGGUGAAAGAAGUUGAUGAUUGAAUUUUGCCGUCUUCCUCGAUUUUCAGCCUGCAGGUCGAAAAAAAAGCAUCGGGGGGGGGGGGGGGGGUUCACCCCGAAAGUUCUUCCUGGCGUCCCAGCUGGCCGUCAUUGUAAUUACCACCGAGGGCCUGAAGCAGCGUCUCAUUUGCAUAAUUGAUUCUUUUAUCAAGGAACAUUUGCCGUUAUCGCUUUCAUCGCACGAUGGAUUUAUUUUUUCGCUAGCAUCGGAAAUGCCGAUCUUUCUUCUCUCGUCCUCCUUUAAUCCGCCCUCAUCCAUCCUUCCCCCCAUCACGUCUUCAUCCCGCCUUUCAUCCUCUCAUUUAACGGCCGUCCUGUCUUCUCAUCGUCUUGUCGCCUGCGUGCUUUUGAUUUCAUUUUUCCUCUCUUUUUGAACUCCUUUUUUUUUCCUCUCUCUUUGUG